GCCUUGAACAAGUCACUUCAACCUUUAAUGAUACCACUGACACUCGCAAGCCCUCUGGUGGCAAGAGAUAAUUUCCAUCAACACGCGUAAAGGACAAAACCUCGACAGCAGCUUCGUUCAGACUGUGUGACGCGCCUGUCUUGGCCAAGUCCCACUCUGCCACGACGACGCAGCGGUGGAAUCCAACCCGACGACGUGGCUUCGGAGAGCGAGUUGGAGGACGGCUUCUCUGCUGUGCCGGCCAACACAGCCACCGUCAGAGGUCUGCCAUGGCCAUCCCUUGCUUAGUUGAUAGGCCUAUGGUGGCCAUUAAUUUGAUGACAAAGGCAUGCCGAUCAAGAGUAUGGCCAGCGAUAGAGGAGUCGAAACAUGAACUUAAAUCUAUUGAAGCAUGUAACCCAAAAUAAAGCAUAGCUGUUUCAAUAAAUAUAAAUACUCGA